rnacentral:rRNA from 1 species
CUGAAGGUUGACCUCGGAUCAGGUAGGAAUACCCGCUGAACUUAAGCAUAUCAAUAAGCGGAGGAAAAGAAACCAACAGGGAUUGCCCUAGUAACGGCGAGUGAAGCGGCAACAGCUCAAAUUUGAAAUCUGGCCUUCGGGUCCGAGUUGUAAUUUGUAGAGGAUGCUUUUGGUGCGGUGCCUUCCGAGUUCCCUGGAACGGGACGCCAUAGAGGGUGAGAGCCCCGUCUGGUUGGAUACCAAUCCUCUGUAAAGCUCCUUCGACGAGUCGAGUAGUUUGGGAAUGCUGCUCUAAAUGGGAGGUAUAUGUCUUCUAAAGCUAAAUACCGGCCAGAGACCGAUAGCGCACAAGUAGAGUGAUCGAAAGAUGAAAAGCACUUUGAAAAGAGGGUUAAACAGUACGUGAAAUUGUUGAAAGGGAAGCGCUUGUGACCAGACUUGGGCAUGGUUAAUCAUCCAGCGUUCUCGCUGGUGCACUUGGCCUGCCCAGGCCAGCAUCAGUUCGGUGUGGGGGAUAAAGGCUUCGGGAAUGUGGCUCCUCCGGGAGUGUUAUAGCCCGUUGUGCAAUACCCUGCGCUGGACUGAGGUUCGCGCAUCUGCAUGGAUGCUGGCGUAAUGGUCAUCAGCGACCCGUCUUGAAACACGGACCAAGGAGUCGUCCUCGUAUGCGAGUGUUCGGGUGUUAAACCCCUACGCGUAAUGAAAGUGAACGCAGGUGAGAGCUUCGGCGCAUCAUCGACCGAUCCUGAUGUUCUCGGAUGGAUUUGAGUAAGAGCAUACGGGGCCGGACCCGAAAGAAGGUGAACUAUGCCUGUAUAGGGUGAAGCCAGAGGAAACUCUGGUGGAGGCUCGCAGCGGUUCUGACGUGCAAAUCGAUCGUCAAAUAUGGGCAUGGGGGCGAAAGACUAAUCGAACCUUCUAGUAGCUGUUUC